rnacentral:rRNA from 1 species
CCUACGGGAGGCAGCAGCGGGGAAUAUUGGACAAUGGGCGCAAGCCUGAUCCAGCCAUGCCGCGUGAGUGAUGAAGGCCUUAGGGUUGUAAAGCUCUUUUAGCAGGGACGAUAAUGACGGUACCUGCAGAAAAAGCCCCGGCCAACUUCGUGCCAGCAGCCGCGGUAAU